GGCGGCAUGGCUCAGGAGGUAGAGCGGGUGGUCUCCGAAUCAGAGGGUUCCUGGUUUGAUCCCUGGCUUCUCCA